GUCCCUUCGGGGACAUCCGAUAAAAUUGGAACGAUACAGAGAAGAUUAGUAUGACCCCUGCGCAAGGAUGACACGCAUAUGAACGAUAAUAAGUGUAGUAAA